rnacentral:rRNA from 1 species
GGCCCUUACAUCCCGGGCUACACACGUGCUACAAUGGCAGGUACAGAGGGCUGGCGAAGCCGCGAGGUGGAGCGAAUCCCAGAAAACCUGUCUCAGUCCGGAUUGAAGUCUGCAACUCGACUUCAUGAAGGCGGAAUCGCUAGUAACCGCGAAUCAGCAGGUCGCGGUGAAUACGUUCCCGGGCCUU